UUCAACUGGAGAGUUUGAUCCUGGCUCAGAACGAACGUUAGCGGCGCGCCUAACACAUGCAAGUCG
rnacentral:rRNA from 1 species